AUAUAGCAGCCUGGAUAUAGCCAUAGCUCUAGUGAAUCAGCAUCUCUAAUGAUAGGGCCCAAAAGUCUGUAUGUAUUGAUGUAGCUAGACCUCAAUCUGUAUUUGGAAAUUACUUCUUUAGGCUAUUUAGAUGAUCAAAUGUACACAAAAUAAUUAAUACUGUAAUGGUGAGGGUGACUUUAAUGCAAUAUUUUUUAAACUCACUACACAUCAAAUUCACCUUAGAGUCUUGUUUGUUGUCAUUUCUGACAUACUACAUCAGAAUCUUUGAGGGAAGGUCGAGGUAUUUACAUUUUUAAAAAGCUUUCUAGGUGAUUCCAGUGAGUCAGGGUGGGAAGGCAUUACUCUACUGCUUGAAGUAGACUGAGGGAGGUCAGAUGUAGCUUCAUUACACUUAAUAGCUUAAGCCAGUGCUCUCUUUUAAACUUGUAGAAUCUCAAAAUUUCCUAAGUAAAACGCCUCCUGAUUAUAGCUGUAGGAGAUAGAGAUAAAAGUACAUAUGUUUCAAGGAAGGUCUCAUAAGAGUAGAAGUUGAAGGUAGUUACCUUAAAGGAUUAGUGGUAUUUCUGACAGAUGGAAAGGAAAGAGAAGAUAUUAAUAAAGACCCAAAGGAACAAGACAAUACUUGUCUUGUUCAAUAUUAUAUUCCCAAGGAAGCCUACUAAAAUGCUCGUCACAAAGCAGGCCCACAAUAAAUACUUGUGGGUUAAAUGCAUGAUAGAUAUAUAGAUAUUAGAUGUUUGGGAAUCUAGAUUAAAGAAAGGAAAAUGCCACAGGGAAGAAAUUAGGAAGACUGUUCCCAUACUUUAAGUGUACCGUGAUAAGUACCUGGAUAAGGAGGGUAACAAUAGGAACAGAGACAAAAAGGAAAAUUAAAGAUAUUGACAGAAAUAACUGGUGUCUAAAUGGAUAUAGUGCAGAAAUAGUGAAGCAACAAGGACAAGCCAAGAAGCCUAACAGUGGAGGGGAUGGCAGUAAUAAAGAUGAAAAGCUCAAUGUGGACAGGAGUUUAAGUCACAUUCAAGUGAAAAUAUUCUUUAGUCAGAUAGUGGUUUAAGAGCCAACGAUAAUUAGAUGUUAUCCCUAACUCCUUCUUCUCCAUUAAAACCUCCAUGCUGUAAAUCGCCAAGUUCUCAUGAUUUAACAUCCUAAAUAUACCUUGACUGCCUCCCCUCUCCUUCAUUCUAUGACACAUGUCUACAAUAAUCUCCAUAUCUACUUAGAUUAUUUAACAGCCUCCUAAGUGGCCCCUUUGCCUCCAGUCUUAUUUCCUCAAGUCCACUGUGAUAGGCAGCUUCAAAUAUGGAUCCCGAUGACCUGUGUCUCCCUAGUAUUCACGCUCUUGUGUAAUCCCUUUCCCUUGAGUGUAAGCUGGACCUAGUGACUCGCUGCUAAUAAACAGAGUAU